UACGGGGGGAGCAAGCGUUGUUCGGAUUUACUGGGCGUAAAGGGCGCGUAGGCGGCCACCGCAAGUCGGUUGUGAAAUCUCCGGGCUUAACCCGGAAAGGUCAAUCGAUACUGCGGGGCUAGAGUGCAGAAGGGGCAACUGGAAUUCUCGGUGUAGCGGUGAAAUGCGUAGAUAUCGAGAGGAACACCUGCGGCGAAGGCGGGUUGCUGGGCUGACACUGACGCUGAACUGCGAAAGCUAGGGGAGCGAACGGG
rnacentral:rRNA from 1 species